UAGGGAAUUUUCCACAAUGGGGGCAACCCUGAUGGAGCAACGCCGCGUGCAGGAUGAAGGCCUUCGGGUUGUAAACUGCUUUUAUCUGUGAAGAUUAUGACGGUAACAAACGAAUAAGGGUCUGCUAACUACGUGCCAGCAGCCGCGGUCAUACGUGGGACCCAAGCGUUAUCCGGAAUUACUGGGCGUAAAGAGUUGCGUAGGUGGCAGAGUAAGUAGGUAGUGAAAUUGUGUGGCUCAACCAUACACCCAUUAUCUAAACUGCUCAGCUAGAGCACGGGAGAGGUCACUGGAAUUUCUAGUGUAGGAGUGAAAUCCGUAGAUAUUAGAAGGAACACCGAUGGCGUAGGCAGGUGACUGGCCCAUUACUGACACUAAGGCACGAAAGCGUGGGGAGCGAACGGGAUUAGAUACCCCCGUAGUCC
rnacentral:rRNA from 1 species